rnacentral:rRNA from 1 species
CAGCAGCCGCGGUAAUACGAAGGGUGCAAGCGUUACUCGGAAUUACUGGGCGUAAAGCGUGCGUAGGUGAUGGUUUAAGUCCGUUGUGAAAGCCCUGGGCUCAACCUGGGAAUUGCAGUGGAUACUGGGUCACUAGAGUGUGGUAGAGGAUAGUGGAAUUUCCGGUGUAGCAGUGAAAUGCGUAGAGAUCGGAAGGAACAUCUGUGGCGAAGGCGGCGACCUGGUCCGAUACUGACGCUGAGGCGCGAAAGCGUGGGGAGCAAACAGGAUUAGAUACCCCAGUAGUCCCUGUCUCUUAUAA